GGAUUUCUGUCGUGGUCAUCCGGCUCCGCCUGUAUGGGUGUGCGCCUGGUUUGCCCUCGGCUCUCUUCCGGUAGCCCGCCGCGCUUCACUGCGUGUGUGGGGGUUCCGGAACUUUUACUUUGAGAAAAAUAGAGUGUUUCAAGCAGGCUUGUCGCCCUGAAUACUUCAGCAUGGAAUAAUAAGAUAGGACCUUGGUUCUAUUUUGUUGGUUUCUAGGACCAAGGUAAUGGUUAAUAGGGACAGUUGGGGGCAUUCGUAUUUAACUGUCAGAGGUGAAAUUCUUAGAUUUGUUAAAGACGAACUACUGCGAAAGCAUUUGCCAAGGAUGUUUUCAUUAAUCAAGAACGACAGUAGGGGGUUUGAAGACGAUUAGAUACCGUCGUAAUCUCUACCAUAAACUAUGCCGACUAGAGAUAGGGAAUGCAUUAUUCCAAUCUUCCCUGCACCUCAUGAGAAAUCAAAGUCUCUGGGUUCUGGGGGGAGUAUGGUCGCAAGGCUGAAACUUAAAG
rnacentral:rRNA from 1 species